rnacentral:lncRNA from 1 species
CACUUUAUAAGUCGAUUUUAUAAGGUUGAGUUAGGCUUAAAGUCCACUUCUUAAUAUAGUAUCAGAGUCAUUUUGAGUUUAUCCUAGCAAGAGUUUGUUGGGCUUAUCAGGCCACCCGCUAUCGGAUCACCCAUAAAUAUAUAGUCACAAGUACGAAUUGGUAGUCUCGGCGUGAGGGGAUGUGUUGGAGAUCUCAUAUCGACUAGAGAUAAGAACAUUUCAUAGUAUAUAAGUGGGUGCAAACCUCACCUUAGAAACCGAUUUUAUAUGAUUGAGUUAGGCUUAAAGUCCAUUUUUUAAUACUUCCAAAAUCUUUUAGAGUGAUCUUCUACUAAGUUGAACUUGGCUCAAAUGCCUUAUUGGAGGCCUAAACAAGCCCAAUUAGGCCCAAACUCCUAGUAAACUCUUUAUUCUUGACUACAGUCUCUCAUAUGGGCUUGCAUUGAACCCUCCCUCUUGAAAAGAAGAUUUGUCCUCAGAUUUUGCAUGAAGCUCAUUGACUGCAACCUUUAUUUGCUCUUUUCUUGUUUACUUUCCUCCAGGAUAAAAAAAAAAAUCAAUCUACAAGAAACAUCAAAUAAAAGUGGGAUAAGUCUCUUCAUUAAAAGGAAACUAAGAAAUUGUUUUUAAAAUAAGAUGUAUCAAAACAACGCCCUUUAUUUUUAAAAGGGAUCAUUGGUUUUAGAAACAUCUUUUUCUUCACUUUGUUUUUGUUGUUGCUUUGUGCCAUGUAACAACAAGACAAAUUGAUGUUUUUGAAUCUUUUUGGAAGAAGAGUUAGCAUCAUGAUUUAAUUGAAAGGAAAAGUUCAAAGUAUUGCAAUCCCCUUUUAAGGUUUAUGUCUCAACUAUGCUUGUAAGGGGUGUUGUAAGAGACUUUUCUUCCUUUUCUUUUCUCUCUUUUUUUUCUCCUCUUUUCUAUCUUUUCUUUCUCUUCUUUAUUCUCAAUAAAAGUUUGUACUUUUUUCUCUUGUUAUAAAUUCUUUUUCUCUUGCUAUAAUUUUUCUUCCUAUUAUUACAAACUUUGUUAUUUUUUCUCUAAUCUUUUUUAUUUUUCUCAUAUGAAAGCGAAACAAAUUUUCUUCUUAAACAUGCCUUCAACUCACGCCAAUUCAUUAUUUUUAAUUUUCUCCCAAUUGAAACAUCAUAUUGCCUUUGUUUCCACCAAGACAUGACAUUCUUGAAAACUUAAAGUAGCCAUGGAUACUUUUCUAUUUUCAUAUACUUGGUGGUAUUUAAGAAGUUUCUCAACCUUCAUCUCCCAUUCUAAAUAUUCCUCAAUAAUUUUAUUUCUAUAGAAAGAAGGGAGGUCUAUUUUAGGCUUUGUAGAAUGAGGAUGAUUAAGUAAACUCCUAGUAAACUCUUGAUUAAUUAUCUAGCUAUGUGACCUCUUUAUUUUUUCCUACAGUCUCGUAGAUGGGUUUGCAUCACCUUUCUUAAUUGUGGUUGACUCAUACAAAUAUAAAGAAAUUAGUGGUGGAUCUAUGGAUUUGUAUCAAAAAUCUUUCUUGCGGUAUAAAUGAAGGUCAAAUGGUGUGUCCUAUUGAUGUGAGGAAAUAAUGGUACAAAUGUCUAAAGUGUAUUGACAAUAAUGACUGGCCAAAUGAAUAUGCAAGUAUUGUAGCAUAUUGGCAAUAAUGGCUAAGUUUUAAGGAACAAUUGAAUAGUCAUGGAUAGAAAAUGUUUAUGCUUAAGGGAGAACGUACCAUGUGAAAGAAAUCCACACUUGAAGAAAUUUUUGGAGCACAAGUGUGAAUAUAAUGUUCUCACAUUGGAUAAGAAUGGACAAUUAGUUGAACUACAUAUCAGUGAAGUGAACCUACAAACCUAAUGCCUUAAUGUGGUGUCAAAUUUAGUUGUGUAGUUUGUCCUUGAUCAUUUGAUAGAGAUAUUCCUAGUGUUUUAUCCCAUUAGAUUCCCAACAAUUUCCAAGUCAUAUUCCUCUUGUCUUUCAUUCAAGUUACAACGUAUAUACUAUGUCCUACUCAUACUUAAGUGAAAAAGCUUUAGUCUUCAAAGUUUAUUUUCAAAGCUAAGUUUAAAGUUAACAACUUCCCUUGAUUAAAAAUAAUAUGUAAUUUGUAAAAAGAAAUGCAAUCAGUAAUAAUCCUUUGUAUGUCUCUAGUAAUCACAUUCAAGAUUAAGUAAAACAAAUAAGGACUUAAGUUUGAGCCUUGUUGUUGUCCUAUCCCCAUCCAAAAGUUCUUAAUGCUUCAUGCAGUUUUCACACUAGUGGUUAUCAUAUCAUACAUUUCUUUUGUAUGUUUGAUUUAAGUCACAAAACAUCUUUCUUUUCCAAAGUCAUUCACUGCACUUCUCUUGAUACUUGAUUAUAAGUUUUUUCGAAGUCAAUAAAACUUAUAUGCAAAUCUCUUUAUUUCAGUAUCUUUUCAUCUACCUCGUUAAAUAUAAAUGACUUCUGUUAUAAACCUUCCAAGUACUUCUCUUGACACCUGAUCGUAAGUUGUUUUGAAGUCAAUAUUACUUAUAUAUAAGUCUCUUUACUUCAGUAUCUUUUCAUCUACCUCCUAAAAUGUAAAUGACUUCCUUAAUAAACCUCCCUAAUAUAAAACAACUUAAAUCUAUGUUUUACCACAUUUUCCAUAAUUUCUCAGUGUGACUCACAAGUUUUAAUCCUUUGUUGUUAACGUAUUCCUGCAUAUUUCCCUUGUUCUUGAAUAUACGAACUAAAGCUCUUCCCCCCCCCCCCCCCCCGACCUUAAUUGACAUCUUAGAUCUAAAAAUCUCAUUGUGGGGUGAUAAGCACCCGAACACUUGAGAAACCUACCUUAAAAAGCUAACAAUUAAAGGGGGAGAACCAAACACUCAAAUACUUUACCAAGUAUCUCAUCCUAAGAGUUCACAAUUCAGCAUCAACCAGCUUUGAUACAAAUUGAUAGCAUCCAAACAGUUGGGGAACCCUCCUCAAAAGCUAGUUAUUAAGGGGUAGAACCAAACAUUUAAAUACUCUUUCUCCCGCACUACUUGAUGAGGGACUUAGACACCCCACAAUAUUAAAGUCUAUAAUGGGCCAAAUGAUACAUUGUGCUCAUAUGCACUUUUGAACUAAAAUAAGAAUACCGUCCAGACCAACAACUUAACUACUAUCCAUCCUUUUCAGGGUCUCUUUUUUUCACAACUUACUACCAAAACAAAAUCAAUUUGUGAACUUAAACUUCCCCUCCUAUAAAUGAUUUGACGUUCCUCCUUCUUGAAACAAGUGUUCAUAAUUCUAAAAUCAUAAGUUAUAAAGAAAUCAAGAAUAAACUGUCAUUCCUCUAGUUUUCUAAAACUAGAACCACAUGGACUCCUAUAAAUUUCCUUGCCUCACUGCUGUCCAUUUAGAUGCCUUCCUAAGAAAAUCUUCUUGUGUAAUGCCUCAAACCAAUCCCACCAAAUCCUUCCAAAACUUUUCUUUUUAACAAGUGCUUCAGAUCCUACUGGAAGUACCAAUAAUAUUGAUGGUCUCGAAUGCAACCAAUAGUUUUAAGGUUCAAAUUUGGCUUCAAUUUUUUUUACUUCAACCGGCCUCUCUUUCCAAUCCUUGUCCACAACAAUACCCACACUAUUAUUCUCUCUAAUUUUCCCUGUAUGCCAAAGUUUAAAUCCUGAUGUACCUAACUCCUUAACUUUUUCUCUAACCCAUUUGGACUCUCGUUGGUACAUAAUGUUAAUCCUCUUUUGAAUCAUGUACCUAUCACCUUUAUAAGCUUACCUGUCAAAGAACCAAUAUUCCAAGUAGCAAAAACCUCUGAACUAGCUUCUCUGUCCACAUCUGUAUACUGUAUAUGUUAAGAAAAUACGAGCAUUCUCACUUAUUUAAACACUAUAUAUGGACAUUGAUGCUGCGACUAGAUCAUUUGGCUCUGUACUCAAGUCAUAUAGCUCGUUACUUCACCAAGUAACAUCUGAAUUAAUCUCUACGAGAAUGAUGAAUUAAAUUUAUGUCGGUAGAUUUUGUGCAGAGAAUUGACAUUUUGUUGGCCUAUUAAUGUUUAUGGUUCAAGAGUUACAAUAAAAUGUCUACUACUUCAUAGGAAUUGAAUACAAUGAUAACGCAACUAUUUUCAAUGAGUUAAAAUUCUGAAAGGAAAGACACUUCCCUCCAGGCAAUUAAUUUUUCUUUAAUUUAUGUAUUAUGACUUGGAAUGUUGUGGUUUAUUAAUAUAAUAUAAUUUUGUUUUCAACUUGUCAGUUGUUGAUACUUGUUAAUCUUAUAACUUUUAUCAUUGAAGGUAUAUAGACUAACCCUUUUUCUGUUGUUAGCUAAUGAUUCUAGUGCGCAGAAUGACUGGAAGGGUGCCUGGUGGCAUAGUAGUUUCACGGUUCACUCAGGUGACUGAUUCAUUCAUAGAUAAAAAAAAAUAGUAUGUCCUAUACAUUAAUGGUACUUGGAAGCUGAAUUCAGACUGAAUUGUUGGUUGAUAGUGAAGGAAUCCCAAAACAGUGUUUUCUGAGCAGUUGUUAAAAUACGUUUCCUUAUCUAUCUAUAUACUACUUAAGAAGUAAAGGGUUCGUAUAUAUGACAUAAAACAUGCCUUGUACUAUGCUUCAUUUAUGAUUUCUGUUUUAUGGUAUGUCAACAGCACUUUAAAAUUUUUCAUACAUGUUAGUGGCAGUUGCUUUCAGUUGGUGCCAUCUAUGUGGCUUAAUCUCCCACUAAGUGCCAAGAGUUUAGUGAUCCAUUAAAGAAGAAAACCCGCUUUGUUUCUUAUGUCUUCUUGCAUACAAAAUAUCCUCUUUUGCGAAUAAACCCAUAUUUUCGUUCUCCAUGGUUUCAAACAUCGUCACAUUAGUCUCUAUUAUUCAAGUUAUCAUCAAAUCAGCCCUUCUUCAAUGACAUUUUACUUGAGAUCAAGAGACUAAAUUGAUUUGCAUUGUUUAGGUGUUAUGUUGAUGUUAAAAUAUACGGACUAUUAAAGUGAUGAUUUUUUGCAUUAUUGAGUGGAUUACUUUGAUGAUAAAUAUUGAGGACCAAAAAUACGACACCUAUUUUCUCAUAGGACAAAAGUAGGGAUUUAUUCUAUCUUUUGUUAAAGCAUAUUUUGUAUUCUAUAUUUCUAAUGUAUCAAACUCAGUCAUGGACUCAAUUAGGUGCAGGGUCAGCGGUUAAAAUAGUAAUUGGUUAACUGGUUGAACCAUAUGUGUGUACCAGAAAUGCUUCCUCUAUUUCAAAACAACAGUGUUUUUAACUUUUGAAGUUAUUUUUUCCAGUAAUACCAACUCAUAUCAGUAAAAAAUAAUAUAUUAUUAUUUAUAUUGAAAAGAGAGACAAAAGUCUAAGAAUUAAAGAUAUUUGUUACUAAAUUUGUAUUAUUUCCCCUUCUCAUGUAAUUAAAGUUUUUUUACGCAGAUUAAGAACAGCAAUAGAUAUACUGCUUUUUCAAAUGAUUUUAUUAGAAAUUAGUUGUUUUAGUCAGGGUACCUUAAAAGACUAUUAUUUUAAAACUGCGGUAGUAUAACAACAGGAACAUUAUAACUAACAUAGAGUUUUGGUGUAAUGCUUGUUAAUAUUGUGUCAUAGGAUCAAAUUAUUAGCUCACAGAUUCGCACGUUAGUUCUUUAACCAGGGAUAACACUAAAUAGUUUACAAAACCAGUAAAAUUUAUUAACCUCGGUUAUUUUUCUCGCUGGUUCAGACUAGUUCUAUCAGAGCCUCUGAUUUGUUGGGUCGAGCUGUUUUUAUUUUAUUUUAUCAGAGCACCUUAACUACAGUACCUUAAAUCUGAUCUCUCUGCUUUGUUUUACCCUAUCUUUUAGUUACUUAGCAUCUUUUUUCCCUUCUUUUUUCUUUGUAUUGGUACUCACAUGCUUGUCUGUAACAGGUUUCGUAGAGGAUCAGAGUCCAUAUGCAGAUAAUGGAAAAAAGGGCACAUACUUUUUUGAAUUUUCCAGGCCUUUGAGGACUAUGGAUCAUCUUCAACAGGUUAGAACCUUGAAACUAAUAUGACAUUAACAAGUUUUAUUUGCUAAAAGCUUGCAAUGAUUUGUUGAUAUUUUUCACAUCAGCUCAAUUCUUUGUUCCGAAGUUCUCUUUCAAUUAAUCUUUGGAGUCUUUUGUAAAUCUAAUGGGUUGGGGAUGAAAACAUAAUAACUUAUUAUUUAUCAAUUUUGAUCAAUGCUGGCACAGUGUAUCCCAGGUCAUGCGAUACACAAUAUUUUUUCAAUCAAUCUCUAUGCUGUUUUGUUGUUGAAAAAGCUUUGUCUUUGGAUAUGAUUGCUUAUACUGUACUGUUUGUUUUACCUUCUUCACAAUGCAAAGUUGCCUUCCGAAUAAAUGUUUAUUGCCUAUGGCCAAAAACUAAAACAAAUCAGAUUUAGAUCACUGCCUCUCUUUUUCUUUGUUUUGUUUGGGAUGGGAGCAAAGAUGAAAAAGAUCUUUUCAAAUAUAUGUGCUUGAAGGAAUUUUUCUGAAUCAUGUUUUGACAUAUUGCGUUUUUUUCUUUUAGUUUCUUACUAGCUAAGAACCCAUUUUUAGCCUAAAUAGAGAGAACUGGAAACCAAAUUUAUAUUUUUGUUUUAAUAGUUCUGUACGGAGUAAUAUCUGUAUUCCAUAACUUCAUUUAUAAAAUAAGUAGCAAGUAAAAUGAUGGAAAAUAAUACCUUGCAGGACGUGCAAUUUAACAUCGGUGGAUCCAGUAAGAUGUCUGUUGCAUUCUGGUAUCCACUAGAUGGUCAGCCAUGGCAUGGUUCGGGACACU